AAGUCGUAACAAGGUUUCCGUAGGUGAACCUGCAGAAGGAUCAUUAAUAACGUAUCCAACGUAAAAAGAAAAAACCCCGUGAACUGAUUUGCGCCCUUGCCAGCCUGUACGUGUCGCCGACUUAUGGUCAGAUUUAGGGACUACUGAGAUUGCAGCUGGAGAGUACCGCGUCGCGUAAGAAGAUAGUUCGACUUCCAAGGAUGACGGCCUCGGCCUGUUAAAGGGAAGUCGACCCCUACCUAUCGUCCUGGGAAGUGAGGCGAUCUCAAGCUUAUCACAAGCCAUGGGACGACAUUAUUUAUGAUAAGUUGUUGUCGAAAGUCAACAAUGAGCUCAUUUACUCGUACACGACUCUGAACAUCUUUUAACAAUGGAUAACUUGGUUCUC
rnacentral:misc_RNA from 1 species